rnacentral:rRNA from 1 species
AAUAGAUACCCCGGUAGUCCAUGCCGUAAACGUUGGGAACUAGAUGUGGGGACCAUUCCACGGUCUCCGUGUCGCAGCUAACGCAUUAAGUUCCCCGCCUGGGGAGUACGGCCGCAAGGCUAAAACUCAAAGGAAUUGACGGGGGCCCGCACAAGCGGCGGAGCAUGCGGAUUAAUUCGAUGCAACGCGAAGAACCUUACCAAGGCUUGACAUAUACGAGAACGCUGCAGAAAUGUAGAACUCUUUGGACACUCGUAUACAGGUGGUGCAUGGUUGUCGUCAGCUCGUGUCGUGAGAUGUUGGGUUAAGUCCCGCAACGAGCGCAACCCUCGUCGUAUGUUGCCAGCACGUAAUGGUGGGAACUCAUAUGAGACUGCCGGGGUCAACUCGGAGGAAGGUGGGGAUGAGGUCAAAUCAUCAUGCCCCUUAUGUCUUGGGCUUCACGCAUGCUACAAUGGCCGGUACAAAGGGCUGCAAUACCGCAAGGUGGAGCGAAUCCCAAAAAGCCGGUCUCAGUUCGGA